UUAUUGCAGAUCCUCUCCUCCUUCUUCUUAAAUCAAUUCCUUUCUUCUUUGCCUCAGCUGAAUGGUUAGAUGGUCUCCAGAACUCAGUCCAAGGGGCAAGUGAGGUUUGGGGGAAGAUUCUGCUAUCCCUUCUGCAAGAAAAUCCUGGUUUUCACAAUCCAUUCAAUCCUGCUACUGGAGCUGUUCCAUUAGCAUGACCUGUAUCUGCACUGGAAGCCAACUCCAAAAUCUUUCUUGAGCCAUUACUGAGACACAGCACAUCAUUCAUGAAGAAAUCUCAAACAGCCUAAGAAAUGGUGAGAACAAGCUCUCGACAAGGUACUAUUGUAGUUGACAUCUCUGCACUGGCAAGUGCUUACAAUUCCCCUUGGGUGUCUCUAAUUAUAAUGUAUUGUUCAUUAAAAAUGGCAACAAAAGUUCACUGAGCCUGCAUUCUUGUGAUUAAUUGCAAUGUUCUCCUAAUCUUUUAUUGUUAUUUAUACUUCUGCCUUCAUGCAACUGAUUAUGCUGUACAUUUACACCAUUCAGAGAGUAACAGGAGGGACACAAAGGGUGAGUUUACAUGAUGUAAUGGAGCCUUGUGGAGCUGUGUCUGAACUAGGGCUGACCCAAGCUGUGUGCUGGCACAGCCCAGAGAUGUACGUCACUAGAAAUUCUCAUCUUGGAGCUAUAAGGAAGCCAUGUCGAGCACAUAAGCUCUGCCUCAGAAGGAUUUGCUACACUCCAUGAAGAGCUGUGGAAUCACAGUUUUUCUGCUUUCAGUUAAGCUCAUGCUGUUUCCAGUUGGUGAAAUAAUUACAGGCAGCUCAGUGCAGGUGUCUCUCAGGAAUACCCUUUGAGUGUUCCUCCCUGUAUGUGAUGCCUGUAUAAACAUCAGAUACCAGAUUUCUGCUAAAUCCUUAAGGCUCCUAAACAUAUCUUUAGAAUUACCUAUCUCCACUGACUAAGCACUGAUGUACAUUAAAGGAUCUACUGAGCAAAACCCCCAUAAAAAUCUCUGCAGCUCCCAACAUCAGGAGGAACAGAAAUUUUGAGUUAUCCAUGAUAACUUGCCUGUAGCAGGAUUGUAGCUUGAUCCACCUUGAGUUUACAUUUGUCAUUAAAUGAUUUCUGAUUUUCCUUUGAUGAUUAUAGCUAAGGUAGCAAGAAAUUUUAGGUGCCUGUUAUUGGCUAUCCCAACCUGAGACAGACAUCAAUAAAUUGAAUUUUGGAGAAAUUUCAAAGCAGCUAUCUCUGAAAAUGAGUUAGUCCCUCAGGUACCCUAGAGUGGAUGGCUUGGAGAGAUGCACACUUUAUCGAGUAAAAAUCUGGCUGGAUGGCUGGGCUCAGAGAGUGUUGGUAAAUGGAGUUACAUCCAGCUGGUGGCAGGUCACUAGUGGGGUUCCCCAGGGCUCAGUCUUGACAUGCCAGCUUAAUUUUUGGGAUAUUUUUUCAGAGAAGCCCAGACUUGUGUGUUGUUAGAGGUCUUAAGUCUUCCUCUUCUAUUAGUUUUCUGGUUGCUACACACCUGCUCUGAAACUCUUCUGUU